UACGGAAGGCAGCAGUGGGGAAGUAUUGCACAAUGGGCGCAAGCCUGAUGCAGCCAUGCCGCGUGUAUGAAGAAGGCCUUCGGGUUGUAAAGUACUUUCAGUCGUGAGGAAGGUGUUAAGGUUAAUAACCUUAGCAAUUGACGUUAGCGACAGAAGAAGCACCGGCUAACUCCGUGCCAGCAGCCGCGGUAAUACGGAGGGUGCGAGCGUUAAUCGGAAUUACUGGGCGUAAAGGGCACGCAGGCGGUUAAUUAAGUUGGAUGUGAAAUCCCCGGGCUUAACCUGGGAAUGGCAUUCAAGACUGGUUAGCUAGAGUCUUGUAGAGGGGGUAGAAUUCCAUGUGUAGCGGUGAAAUGCGUAGAGAUGUGGGAGGAAUCCGGUGGCGAAGGCGGCCCCUGGACAAAGCUGACGCUCAUGGUGCGAAAGCGGU
rnacentral:rRNA from 1 species